UACGGAGGGGGCAAGCGUUGUUCGGAUUUACUGGGCGUAAAGGGUGUGUAGGCGGCUGCGUAAGUCUGGUGUGAAAUCUUCGCGCUCAACGCGAAGCGGUCACUGGAAACUGCGUAACUCGAGUGUGGUAGAGGCAAGCGGAAUUCCUGGUGUAGCGGUGGAAUGUGUAGAUAUCAGGAAGAACACCUGUGGCGAAAGCGGCUUGCUGGGCCAUCACUGACGCUGAGACACGAAAGCGUGGGGAGCAAACGGG
rnacentral:rRNA from 1 species